rnacentral:rRNA from 1 species
CAUGCAAGUCGAACGAUGAUCCGGUGCUUGCACCGGGGAUUAGUGGCGAACGGGUGAGUAACACGUGAGUAACCUGCCCUUAACUCUGGGAUAAGCCUGGGAAACUGGGUCUAAUACCGGAUAUGACUCCUCAUCGCAUGGUGGGGGGUGGAAAGCUUUUUGUGGUUUUGGAUGGACUCGCGGCCUAUCAGCUUGUUGGUGAGGUAAUGGCUCACCAAGGCGACGACGGGUAGCCGGCCUGAGAGGGUGACCGGCCACACUGGGACUGAGACACGGCCCAGACUCCUACGGGAGGCAGCAGUGGGGAAUAUUGCACAAUGGGCGCAAGCCUGAUGCAGCGACGCCGCGUGAGGGAUGACGGCCUUCGGGUUGUAAACCUCUUUCAGUAGGGAAGAAGCGAAAGUGACGGUACCUGCAGAAGAAGCGCCGGCUAACUACGUGCCAGCAGCCGCGGUAAUACGUAGGGCGCAAGCGUUAUCCGGAAUUAUUGGGCGUAAAGAGCUCGUAGGCGGUUUGUCGCGUCUGCCGUGAAAGUCCGGGGCUCAACUCCGGAUCUGCGGUGGGUACGGGCAGACUAAAGUGAUGUAGGGGAGACUGGAAUUCCUGGUGUAGCGGUGAAAUGCGCAGAUAUCAGGAGGAACACCGAUGGCGAAGGCAGGUCUCUGGGCAUUAACUGACGCUGAAGAGCGAAAGCAUGGGGAGCGAACAGGAUUAGAUACCCUGGUAGUCCAUGCCGUAAACGUUGGGCACUAGGUGUGGGGGACAUUCCACGUUUUCCGCGCCGUAGCUAACGCAUUAAGUGCCCCGCCUGGGGAGUAC